rnacentral:rRNA from 1 species
CCCUUAGAUGUCCUGGGCUGCACGCGCGCUACACUGGAAGUUACGGAUUGAGAUACUACCUUGUCCGAAAUGGUCCGGGUAAUCACCUAAAAGCUUGUCAUAAUUGGAAUGGAUUAUUGUAACUAGUAAUCCUGAACGAGGAAUUCCUAGUAAGUCCCAGUCAACAGCUGGUACUGAUUACGUCCCUGCCCUUUGUACACACCGCCCGUCGCUACUACUGAUAGGACGUUUAAGCAAGAUUUUUAAACACUGACAGUGUGUAGUUCACGCUAUACUACAGUGAGAAGAAGAAGAUCGAGCUUACUUGUCUAGAGGAAGUAAAAGUCGUAACA